GAAUGCUGGGACUACCAUGAGAAGUCAUAUCUUCCUGGAUCAGGAAUGGUCAUAUAGAGAAAGAGGAAGGCCCAGCAAUCCCAGCUGAAAUCUUAGACAAGAGUUUAAGGCUAUUGCAAAUUAUUCAGUCGAGCUGUCACAGAACCGCCCCACCAACCCAAAUUUAUGACAUGGAAGAUGCAUGCCACCCUCGGCUCUGGAACCAUAUCAGCUCUGACUUACCAGCUUCAUGACUUGCUGAUUCCUCAGCUUCCGCGAUCACCAGUAAAAUGGUGUUUACGAUACAGAUCUUCUAGGGUUGUUGUAACGGAGUCUGGGAACAUUCCUGUGGCCUUCCUUAAACUGAACUUACUCUGGGUGCUUCUGAUCUGUGACUUGAGCGCAAAAUAAAGACUAAUUUUUAUCUGGGUCAAUGUGGGGCCAACUAGGGUGGCCGGUCCUGAAGGCCACGCCUGCAGCUUUAGUGUUUUUAAAUGUCUGACCACCAAACGGGUCAUGCAAGUGUAUGGACUUUUUUCUUUUCUUUUUAGAGUCUGCACAGUGAUGGUAGGACUGGGAGUACUAAUCAAUCCCUGUGCCAUGUUCAAUCGGUCUGUUCUACUGAUUUUUUUCUUGUUGUUCUUGUUUCACCGUGUUAAAUUUAAGUCUUUAAGAAGUGGACGCCCCGUGGAAAGCCCGACAAAUGAAACAGUAGAGGAGGGUACCAAAGUCCCGGGGUCCCAGUUGCAGUCCGCUAUUGCUCCAGGCCCAGCGGGGGCGGACCUCGUUGGAGGCUACGGUGCAGGUCGGAGAAGAUGAAAUGGCCUAGCAUCCCCCUUCCCAGGGGCUCGAGUCGGCAGCUUUAGAGCUCCGACAAUCUGUGCCCUCGCUUUGGGCUGCGCCAGGGAGCAAAAAACCUCUGCUUUUUUGAAAGAGGCCGGGGCAACAAGGUAGAGAGCCGCGGCCAGAAGCAGCCCCGGG
rnacentral:lncRNA from 10 species